rnacentral:lncRNA from 1 species
AGAGUUUAUUACGUACUAGAACAUCUAGUAACAUAUUUAAAAAAAAAACAUCUAGUAACAUAUAUAUUUGGGAUUUAUUUUCUGUAAAAUAUUGACCUAAAAAUUGUUGUUGUUUUUUUUAAAACCUAAAAAAUGUUUUUAAACUAAUUUACACCAAUGCACAUUUUCCACGUACUUCUUUAAUUAUUUUGGUUUACAUUACAUGUAAAGACUUUUGUUAUAUAAUAUUACACCGAAAUCCACAAGAUUACACGACGUGAUUAAGAUAAUUGGAAAGACUAAACUUGGGGUUCCUAUUUUGACAACUGUUGUGAAUUUGUAGCAUUAUAUAGUUGUUCUUAGUUGAAGUUGUUAUUAGAUUUGAUUAGAGUAAAUUAAUCGUCGAGUCGUCUUAUACUGCUUUUCCCCGCGGUUAGUUGAAACAGAAAAACUUAUACUUUACAAUAAACUAUUAAUUUUGGUCUUCAGAAUGAAAUAAUUUAUACUAUUAAUUCCCUGUUUUGACUAAUAUUUUUAGUUUCUUUUAGCCAGAGUCACAUACCCAUACAGUACAUGCAUGAAUACAAACUGGGGAUUGUGCCACGUUACGAAAAUUCUUACGUUUAUUGAGUGAUGAUUUACUUGUACAAAAAGUGAAGACAUUUGACCAAGACAAAAGACGAAGCACGGUGUUUACUUUUAGGGAGAAAUUAAAGGAAGAUAUCCC